AUUGCGGAAGAUGAUGAAGAUCGGGCCAAUCUGGAAGUGGAAGUGUCUCAGAUGAAUCGCAAAUGGAGCAGUUUCCACCGGGAAGUCGGGGAAACACGUCAACAAAUUAAUCUUUCCAUAGAUUACUUCACUCUAGUCGAAGAAGUGGAGCAAUCCUUCCGGUCAGGUAGUCAGAUGUUGGUUACAGUUGCUCGUAAAUCGACACAAGUCAAGACGCCGGAAGAGGCGACCACGUUAUUGAAAGAAGUUGACGGAUUCAUAAAACCUCAAGAAGCUCAACUGGAACGCAAGAUAACCAAGAUUUCACAGAUGGCCAUCCAACUUUACGGUCACGAGAGUUCUGAUCGCAUCCAGCCAGUGCUUCAAGAAAACCGUAACAUGUUGGACUCUUUCUCGGUUAUGAAUGCAGAACUGACAACAUUGGCUACGAAUCUGAAAGCCGCUGAAGAUCGUUUCAAACAAGCAGAAACGCAAGCGGCUGUGCAGGAAUCGCUGGAUGCAGCCAGGGCGGAAGCGGCUUCAGCUCGAGCUGCAGCCUCUGCUGCCGAAGAAGCUCGUAAGGCGGCUGAAGCGGCCGCGUUGGCUAUGAAGGAAACCCAAUCACCUCCGCCACGUCCACCUCUUCCAGCCAGUAUACCUGAAUUGCCCAGGCCGUCAGCUGCCGCCCUCUCCUCCGGCAGGGCUCCUACGCCCCCGAAACGAGCCAAACCAGUUGAAAUGCCUAUCGACGAACCUAUUUUUACCACUUUGCUUCAAGAUGCUACGGUUGAGGAGAGUAAAGCUGUUCAACUGACGUGCAGGGUGACGGGCCAACCAACCCCAUCUAUUUUGUGGCUGAAAGACGGAAUGGCCAUCGCCAAUAAUCCCGACUAUCAAACGAAAUUUGACGAACGAGAUGGCACCUGUUGUCUGACUAUCGACGAAACGUUCGCCGACGAUUCAGCUCGUUUUACCUGCCAAGCCAGUAAUGUAGCCGGAAUCGCUGAAACCACUGCUUUUCUUCGAGUUCAAGAAUGCGCGGAGGAUGUCUUACUACCACCGGAAUUCGUCGAGUCUUUGAUUGAUUCGACGGCCAGAGAAGGCCAGCCUCAUCAGCUCUCUUGCCGUGUCGUAGGCAUUCCCGUCCCGCUGAUUUCGUGGUACAAGAACGGCAUCUGCGUGGACUACUGUCGUGAUUACAACAUCUCCUUCAACGACGGCCUGUGCACGUUAAGUUUUUCGCAAGUCUUUGUCGAAGACGGUGCCAUGUUCGAAUGUAGGGCCGCAAACGAGGCAGGUGACGCUGACACGGCAGCCCAUCUCACCGUCGAACCUUUGGAACCAACGGAGGUACCUGCUUUCAAACCAGGUUUGAGUAGCAACGUUAUGGCUCGCACUGGCCAAAAAGUCCGUCUCGAAUGCGUCAUAUCUGCCGGACUGCCCAAACCUUCAGUGCUAUGGUUGCACAACAACAAACCGGUCAAGGAAACCCGAGACAUCAAAACUUUGGUGGAAGGUAACAGACAUUUGCUGACUAUCACCGAGGCGUUUCCCAAAGAUGCUGGGACGUAUACGGUCGUGGCGAGAAAUCCAGCGGGCGAAGCCAUCACGACAUGCAAUUUAGCUGUCAAGGGUCGGGUUCCGACAGAAACUUCGGAUUCGGAACUUGCGUCAGACAUGGAACCUAUCAAACCAGGUAUCCAGCAAAGCUUACCAGCCAAAAUGAACGUCCGCGAAGGCGACAAAGUUAGAAUGGAUUGCGUCAUUGUGGCUCAACCCGAACCUGAGGUAAUCUGGUAUCAUAAAGAUCGACCUGUCAAAGAAUCCAGCGAUUUCCAGCUCAUUUUUCAAGGCGAUCGUUGCUCUUUAAUUAUCCGCGAAGCUUUUCAAGAAGAUGCCGGACUCUAUAGAGUUGUGGCCGUCAAUUCAGCUGGCGAAGCAUCCAGCCAAUGUCACCUAACCGUAUCUCCGAUAGAAGAGAAACUACACGAUGAAGGGACUAAUUCAUCAGUGACUUUAGCCUCCUUGACAGCGCAACCAGAUCCCACGACGGAACCGCCCGUUUUCAAAAAGACUUUUGGCAAUGUAGCAGUAGACGAAGGCGGGCCAUUGAUCUUAGAUUGCACCAUUACCGGGCGACCCACGCCUCACGUCCAAUGGCAUUUUAAUGAUCAACCCAUCACCGCGUCUGGUUUCGGAUUUAAAACCACUAAAAUAGGGGAAAACCAGUAUCGCUUGUCCGUCGAUAUGGCCCGUCCGGAACACGGUGGUCGCUACAAAUGCGUAGCGGAAAGCCAAUCGGGAGUAGCUACUUGUGUGGCAGAUGCCACCGUCCAGCCGAGAAAACAAGACGACUCUUUUGUGAACCGGAGGGCCGUUUUUAGCCAAUCCAGCACCGUUGUCAGUAGCCAAGAGAGCAGCUAUCGUUCCGUGACUCGACAAGUCCAGCAAUCGAUCACGCAAGUGACGGGUCAGGCUGCCCAACAGAUGGCGACUGAGCGUACGGAAGUUAUCGAGAAAGAGGGAGAUGAUGAGCCGGUGUUGUCUGUUAAACAAAGGGCGAGUCUUUUCGCUGGAACAGAAGCGGCCACGCCCAAAGCCAAUCCUGUCCAGGUGGUAAAGAAAACUCAGCGCAAAGAUGUGGCUCCCAGAUUCGUAACAGCUUUGACUGGCGUCAUGGUGGAGCCGGGGGCCAAUAUCCAGCUGGAGGGCAUAUUGGAUGGUCAUCCUAUUCCGGAUGUCAAGUGGUACAAAAAUGGCGUUGAACUUGUCCCGCCGGAAGAGCAAGAUCGAUUAGAUGUUUCAUCCGGAGGGCAGAAAGUCCGUUUGUCCAUUAAACAAAUGGAAGAAUCCGAUGCUGGGAGGUACACCUGCACGGCUAGGAAUUCCGCCGGAACCGCUAGUAGCACGGCCGAUGUGGUCGUUCGUCGCACCCAGUUUCCGCCCGUGUUUGGCAGACGAUUGCAGGCGCAGACGGUACGUUCUGGCUCUCGAGUUACGAUGGAAGUCGAAGUGACUGGAACUCCUCCGCCGGAAGUCUCUUGGAGCAGAGACGAUCGUUUGUUGAGCUCCAACAAUGAUGGACGCAUAUCCACUAAAGUGGAAGGCACUCGCCACUGGAUCGUCAUUUCUAAAGUGUCCGAGCUGGAUGCUGGACGCUACACUGUCAGGGCUAUGAAUCGAGCCGGAGAAGCUAUUAGCACGGCGGAAUUGUUCGUGUCGGCUGCCCUAGUCGUUGAAGAGCCUUCCAGCCGGAAACAUCCACCACUCAAAGUGGAUGUGACUGCCAAACCUGCUGAUUUGCUUCCAGAACCGCCACCGGAAGUGCUUUACGCGCCUAAAUCUGAGACGCCUAAAAGCUCUUCUUCCGGAACUCGGGUGGAUUUUGCGGAAAAAACCCGUUUGCUGGAAGAGGCCAGCAAAAUAGUCAGCCCGACCGAAGUUCCAGGUCGUAUUCGACUUUUACCCAUGCCGUCCGACUCUGAAUCUUCUCCGCCGAGAAUAAUCCGCCCAACCCCGCCUCCGGAAUUGCCUCCUCGUCAGCCCAGCGUUGAAUUGUCGAAAUUCGAACCUUUUCCGCAAUUGGAACCGUUUCCUUUCAAACCCGAUCCGCCACGGCCGGAAAAGAAGAAACCGGCUGCUGUUCCAGCCGUGCGGAAGCCUGGGAAAUUCGUUCGCGGCGAAUCGCGUGAAAGCGAUUACGAAAGCGAUCUGGAAGGUGCGCGGAUUACACCCAGAUGGGUCCCGCCCGGAAGCGAUACAGACGACACGGCGAGCUAUAAGAAAGUCAAGCCAAAAUUAGCAUCGGAUGGUGAACGUACGAGCCGGGCUGUUUCCAAAGAACCGACUCCGCCCACCCAGUUUGAAGUUCCAGCUGAAAUGGAGGGUCCACCGCGGCCAAAAGUUCUUCCUCUAGAGCCGGAAGUUGUCCCACCCAAGCAAGAAGAGCAGCAGUCGCAGCUCAUUGCCGCGCCCGGCACCCAAACUUGGCCCAGAAUAAAAUCGCCAAAACCGCCAUCCGCCGAAGGCUUGGCCAUGGAGAAAUCGUGGGUUCCAAAACGAGUGGAAAGCGAUUCCAAGACUUUGCCGAGGUUGUCGGUCAGCCCAGUGGGUCAUCUGAAACCGUCGCCAAAAGCUCUCGAAAUGGAAAAACAAUGGAGUCAUCGAUUUACUAGUCACAAUUCCAAAAUCUGGCCGCCACCACCGUCUGAGCAAGAGCCCCCGUCCAUCCCGAUUUGGACGGGACACUCGUCAACGCAGCAGACCAGCACCGUGAUUGAACGCACGGACCAACGAUUUGAAAGUGUCACCAAGAAAAGCAUUUUGAAAACUGCAACGACGGGUCCCACGGUUAUCGAUCAACCGUCACGACAUGUCACAAUCCAAGGCGAAGACGAAGUCGUUUUUGCGAAGGUUGCGUCCGUCAUCCCGUCAGAGCCGACGGCCCUGAAGUCGCAGUCUCCACAGACCAGCAAAAAGUUUGAGCCUUUCCCUCAACUGGAACCUUUUCCUUUCGAGGCGAAUCCUCCUGGUCCAGCAGUCGAUGCCAAGAAAUGUGGAGCACCGCCCGUCCGCAAACCGGGCAAAUUCGUUCAAGGGCAAUUUAUGGAGAGUGACUACGAGAGCCAUCUGGACAGCUCUCGCAUUCCAUCCAGAUGGCUGCCUGCGGGUAGCGAUACCGAAGAGACAUCCAGCUUCAAGAAAAUUCAACUGCCCAAGUUGUCGACUGACAAACCUGCCGAGCGGAAGCAAGGAAAGUGUCCGUCACCUCCGUCCAAGUACGACGUCAAUCCUCCGCAGUAUGUCGGACCUCCGCGACCGGAAUUUAAGAAGCCUUCGCCUCCAGUUCAGACGGAGUUUAAACUGCCUACCCCACUUAAUCAGCCCGAGUCUAAACUGCCUACUCAGCCGGAAGGGUCUCCCAGAAAGCCGUCCAUUACGGGAACGGAGACUGUCCAGCGAAUGCAGAUGGAAGAGUCGACUCGUUUCAGUAAACGAUUUGUCACAGUUGAGCAGACGACUAGAACUGUCCAAUUGCACCCGGCUGAUGUGGUUAGACCAGCGCCAGCUGUUGUUCCAGCGGUUAUUAAGCGUCCGGUAGAACAGCCUCUGGAACCUUUUCCUUUCGUGCCCGAUCCACCUCAACCGAGAAAAGCCUAUUCUCCGUUGUCGGUCGUUAAGCCCAGCAAGUUCAUUCCGGCUGGAUGCUCUAGAGAAAGCGAUUACGAAAGCGAUUAUGAUGGUGCAAAAAUCAGGCCUAGAUGGACGCCGGCCGGCAGCGAUGCAGAGUACGAACCUGCCUACCGUAAGGUCCAGCCGCCAUCGUCUGCCGCAAGUGCCAAUAAGAAACCGACUACUGGAGCACGAACGCCUACACCACCGUCUGUAUUCGAUCAGCCGCCCAGUUUUCAAGGCCCGCCUCGCCCAGUCAUUAGCCCGACAGAUGUGAUUAAAAUCAAAUCGGCACUUGACAAGUCUGAGGAGAGGCCCGUCGUACUAGUCAAACCGAAAGCCAUUCGUCUGCCAGCUCCGCCAAUAACCGCCCAGACGGGUAAGGUUUUGCAGCCGGCCGAAGAACCCGUUUAUUGCUAUGCCGAGCCACCACCCACUGCUGCUGCCGCUCAGGAGAAGGCGGCUUCGCAUUUCGUCCAGAUGUCUGACGCUUUCCGAACGAAAGCCCAGCAUUUCGCCCAGCAAGUCAUUUCGGACGUCAAAGCGACCAGCGUUAUUCCUCCUGAGGUGACAGCAGCCGAACAGCCGGUAGAAGCUAAUCCCACUGUCGAACAACAGCCAGCAGUUGAAACGACGGGCAAUGAGCCACAAGCCUAUCACGAAGAAAGUCGGCAGUCAGAGUUCGGUACGAAGCACAUCGAUCCAGACACGGGUCUAAUCUAUUUCAAGUACGAUUUCGGUUACGAAUUCGGUCUUGUGCUGCCCGGUGAGCCGCAAAAAGUAGACAAGAUUGAAACAAGCAUUGGCAAGGAAGGAACUAUUGAGCUUCCCGUUUUACACGAGCAAACAGUCACACCAACACCGCCAGCAAACAACCCUUCUUCUACACCAACCGUUGCAACUGGGGAGAUUCAAAAGCAGCCUGCUAAGAAAGAGAUGCCAAACUUUAAACCAAAGAAAUUUACGCAAUACAAAGCUGCUAAGUGGGAGCCCACUGACAGUGAGUUAUCUGAUCAGGAGAGUGGGAAAGUACCUUCGUGUUACUACGACGAAAGGAAACAGACCUACAGUAAAUUCCAGCCUCCAGAACGUAGUCUCAGCCCACAAUCCCUGGCAUCCAGUUCCCCUCGAGAUAGCAUUUCUGGACCUCAAAAGCUGCCAGAAUAGAACAGUGACCCAUCUUUUAAUGGUUGGAGGAGAAAUGAGAAAAUAACUUGCAAGCCAGAUUUCAGGAUCUUCUUAUAACUAACGAAAUUAUUUAUGUUUUACGCAAAACACCCUUUGUUCUUUUGCUGUUGCUGCUGCUGCAAAACUGGUUGAUAUUAUCUUUCUGUCCCGACAUUGUUUAUCGACACGAACAGAACUCUUUGGAAUUUGGAUGUUUACUUGGAAACUAAAUUUCCCCUCCCUCUUAUUUCAACUUGGUUGUUUAUUUUGGCUUUGGAUCGACAUCUAGUGGGCUCUGAUAGAACUAUAAACAUCAAAUACAUCUUCACCUGAUAA
rnacentral:misc_RNA from 1 species